UACGUAGGGGGCAAGCGUUGUCCGGAAUCAUUGGGCGUAAAGAGCGUGUAGGCGGCCAGAUAAGUCCGCUGUGAAAUCUCGAGGCUCAACUUCGAGCUGUCGGUGGAAACUGUCUGGCUAGAGUCCGGAAGAGGCGAGUGGAAUUCCUGGUGUAGCGGUGAAAUGCGCAGAUAUCAGGAGGAACACCAAUGGCGAAGGCAGCUCGCUGGGACGUGACUGACGCUGAGACGCGAAAGCGUGGGGAGCAAACAGG
rnacentral:rRNA from 1 species